GAUAGAGGGUUAAUUAGGGAAGGUUAUCAUAUGAUCAAAUUCUUUUGGUGUCUUGAAUGAAAUUGUGUGAGUUCUUGAUCAUGUUAGUUGAUCUUGGAUUCCGCAUUAAUAAUGGCUUAACUUAAGUUAAAAAACUUGAAAGUUGAUGGACUUGGAUCUAUAUUGGGUUUCAAUUAUCAUAUAAUGAUUAUAAAUCGAGUUUAGGUUUUAGAAAGCUACCUACUAUGAGUACAACUUAUUGUUAUCCAUUCUAAAGUUUAUUUUGCCUUCAUGUGACUUUUUUUGCUCAAUGUCAAAGUCCAUUUCUUCUUGCACAUUUAGGUUAUUCAUUCUAUUUUUUAUAUCUAUUUGAUGCUUUUUAACUAGAGGAUACAAAAACUUACAACUUCUCUAACUAGCUUUGCAUGACAUCUAUUUGUUUGUCUCUUUCAUGGAGCUCCCUUGUUAUUAUUUCUUACUCUUUACAAGAGAUCACAUCU
rnacentral:lncRNA from 1 species